GAUGAACGCUAGCUACAGGCUUAACACAUGCAAGUCGAGGGGCAUCGGGAAGAAGGCUUGCUUUCUUUGCCGGCGACCGGCGCACGGGUGAGUAACACGUAUCCAACCUGCCCUUUACUCGGGGAUAGCCUUUCGAAAGAAAGAUUAAUACCCGAUAGCAUAAUGAUUCCGCAUGGUUUCAUUAUUAAAGGAUUCCGGUAAAGGAUGGGGAUGCGUUCCAUUAGGUUGUUGGUGGGGUAACGGCCCACCAAGCCUUCGAUGGAUAGGGGUUCUGAGAGGAAGGUCCCCCACAUUGGAACUGAGACACGGUCCAAACUCCUACGGGAGGCAGCAGUGAGGAAUAUUGGUCAAUGGGCGCUAGCCUGAACCAGCCAAGUAGCGUGAAGGAUGAAGGCUCUAUGGGUCGUAAACUUCUUUUAUAUAAGAAUAAAGUGCAGUAUGUAUACUGUUUUGUAUGUAUUAUAUGAAUAAGGAUCGGCUAACUCCGUGCCAGCAGCCGCGGUAAUACGGAGGAUCCGAGCGUUAUCCGGAUUUAUUGGGUUUAAAGGGAGCGUAGGUGGACUGGUAAGUCAGUUGUGAAAGUUUGCGGCUCAACCGUAAAAUUGCAGUUGAUACUGUCAGUCUUGAGUACAGUAGAGGUGGGCGGAAUUCGUGGUGUAGCGGUGAAAUGCUUAGAUAUCACGAAGAACUCCGAUUGCGAGGGCAGCUCACUGGACUGCAACUGACACUGAUGCUCGAAAGUGUGGGUAUCAAACAGG
rnacentral:rRNA from 1 species